rnacentral:lncRNA from 1 species
CCGUUUUAAUUUCAGGAUAUCGUACAUAGAUAUUCAUUCAUUUUAUUUUAAAUGCAUUUAUACAGGUGACCUUUAUCCCAUUAAUGUUGAGAUAAAAUAAAAAAAAUAUUGUGCCACAAUCAGGCUACAACAUGUGGAAAGUGUUGGGGAAAUACAGUAGAUGUACGGCUAAUAUAGCUGCAGUUUCAUGCACCAGACUUCUGUGCGCAAUGGUCUGGGGACAAAUUCAGUAGGCUACAGCUGUGACAGCCCUAUAAAAUGCCUCAAUAACAUUACACCGUAUAGUAGUGUCAGUCAUACACAUGACACACACACACACACACACACACAUUUUUUCUUUUUUCAUUGCAUCAAUAAUAGCAAUAGUUCCACAUACUUUACCCGAAGUCCCGAACAUAUCCUGUUUCAAGAUUACGCAUAUUAAAUCAGUUUAAUUUUGUGAAGGGGGACACACAGUUGUUUUUGCGUUCAUUUGCCUCACCGCAGCAUUGCAGUAGAAGUUCUGGCAGGGGUAACAUGAGGACUGGAGCAACUCUUGGUCUCAGCCAGCCUGUCUGUGGAGUCGAGCCUUAACCGCAGUUGAUCUGACCAAUUAAAUACCCGGAGGCUGUUUCAGCGGGAGGGGUCUUCAACACGUCGACUCUUUUUUUAUUUGCUAUGACCUUAUAUUACACUUGGCAGGUGGGCAACACAAAUCAACGCCUACUUCUGGGACAUUGAAUACUUUCUCCUGGGCCACAAGACAGAAAGAGUCACCACCGCUAUUGGUUUGAAAAAAAAAAAAAAAAAUACACGAAAGUGGAAUAAUGUCGGGGAUCAGAGGUUCUGUCAAUUUGCUAAGGGUCGCAGUGAGGUCGCAGAUCGUCUCCAAAGCCACCCUGUCGCACAAGCCUGCGAAGCACCACAUAUCCGUGGGGGAGCAAGCCAUUGCAAUGACAGCCUUUUUUAUCACCAUCCUGGGGCCCUCUGGUUAUGUUCUGGCUCACCUGGAGAGCUACAAGCACCACUCCUAAGUGGACCUGUCCUGGCUGGCCUCCAGGCAACCUCACCUGAGCAUUACUCCAGAUGACGAGACGUCUCCUAAACCCUUUUUAUGAGUGAUGAUUCUAUUAAUGAAUGUACCAAUAAAUGAAUGUCCCAAUACUAUGAAUGCGUCAUCUUGAGAUCUAAACAAUCACAUACAUUUACUUUUAGAGCACAUACGUUUUUAAGCAGAUAGAUGGGCAGAAGAUAGAUUUCUGUUUCUCACAAAAAUAGACAAAGUAUAUAUAAUAUUCUAUUCUGAUAGCUAACAGUCUUGUAGUGCAUUUAUAAAUGGGUAUUUUUGCCUCACAACAAAUUGUAUACUGGUAGUACAGCAUUAUUCAGUAAUGCGAGAACUGUGACUCAGGCCUUCUAAGAACCAUUCCAUUCAGUCUUUAAAAAGGGGUGCACUCUGCAGUAAAUGUGAUUAUUAGACUAUUGUGGUAUUGCCAAUACGCAAGUGGAUUAGAAAAUAACAAAUAUUGAGGCACUGCCAGCAAAGAAGUUAAUUAGUAAUACGUAAAAGGAAGAAUUGCAGGGUAGGCCUAUUCAUUCAGUGUGGCUGAGAAUAUAGAUGUAGCCCUUUACUGCAGUCAGUGAACAAAAGCGCUCCUCUUGACCUCACGGGUGGAAUGUUAUCACUACUUUUCAUAAUUUCAUCAUUAAUAAACAUUUUUUUUAAACUACGAAAAUCCAGUGUUUCCAUGUCAAACAGUUUUGUUAUAUUUCAGUCUUCUGUGAUGUACAGUUGAAGUCGGAUGUUUACAUACACUUAGGUUGGAGUCAUUAAAACUCGUUUUUCAACCACUCCACAAAUGUCUUGUUAACAAACUAUAGUUUUGGCAAGUCGGUUAGGACAUCUACUUCGUGCAUGACACAAUUAAUUUUUCCAACAAUUGUUUACAGAUUAUUUCACUUAUAAUUCACUGUGUCACAAUUCCAGUGGGUCAGAAGUUUACAUACACCAAGUUGACUGCCUUUAAACAGCUUGGAAAAUUCCAGUAAAUGAUUUCAUGGCUUUAGAAGCUUCUGAUAGGCUAAUUGACAUAAUUUGUGUCAAUUGGAGGUGUACCUGUGGAUGUAUUUCAAGGCCUACCUUCAAACUCAGUGCUUCUUUG